rnacentral:lncRNA from 1 species
GGGAGUGCUGGCGGGCCAAGGGCCUCUCACUCUGGGCCUCCAGUGUCCAGACCUGGACCUCGGCCAGCGGUGACAGGAGGUACACGUGACGGGAGGGCUGGGGAUUGUGAAUAAAAGUUGUUUCUUUUGUGCGGAACCCAGGGCGAGGAUGAGACGCUUAACAGAGCUUAGCAUCAGGGUCACCGGCCAGUCCGGCCCCACCCCUCGCUGGACAGCCGGGCCGGCCUUCCUUCUGGGGACAGUGAGGCGUCGCAGUGCAGGACAGCUUCCUCCCCCGCAAGGGCAGCGUGGCCCCAGGCUGGCUACUUCCAGGCAGCACCUCCCUUCUGCCCUCCUUGUUGUCCUUCGGGCCUCUCUGACCUGUCACGAAUGCUGCUGGUGCGGAUGAGAAUUUCCCCAAGGAGCGCUUUCUGCUCACGCCCCCAGCUCAGUCCGAGGGAGGUGGGUGGGGCCCGACGCUGUAGCCGGAAGUCGUUUCUGCUGUGAAAACGGUGCUCUGCGCAGUGCGCUGAGUUCCUGUCCUCGGAGGACUCCUAUUCGCCACUUGGAGUGCUCACAGGGUGCUGCGCCCUGGGCAGAGGCCCUGAGGGAGCUGCCUUUCUGCUCAGUGGUGCUCUGCAGCAGCAGUCACUGUAUUUUUGAUCACACCUCAUGAAGACACUCAGGAAAGAGGACUCCAGAGCUGCUUCAGAAAGUGGCCAGGACGAUGGGCGACAAGGAACCGGGGCAACCAACGGAAAAGACAAGACAUCGGGAGAAAAUGACGGGGAGAAGAAAGUCCAGGAGGAGUUUGACAUCGACAUGGACGCGCCAGAGACAGAGCGCGCAGCUGUGGCCAUCCAGUCUCAGUUCAGAAAGUUCCAGAAGAAGAAGGCUGGGUCCCAGUCCUAGCGGGGCCCCUUCCCGGCCCGGCCGAGACACUGAGUCUUCCACUAACAGCAGUGCCGCACAGAGUCCGCACCCCGCGCUGCACCCCAAGAUGCAUGCACAGAGACCCGCAGCCUCCCAGGCGGGCGGAGCAGCUUAGUCUCCGUGUCCACCCCUCCCCGCGAUGACUGUCCCUGAUGUUGUAAUAAAAGGAGCUAAGACCGAGUCCAGUGUCGCCUUGGUCUGUCUUUACUUGAAUCUAGGAAGUUCCAGGGUAGCGGUGACUGCCAGCCAGAGGUCUGCUUUCCUCUCCCCUUAGGAGUCAGGGAGCGAGCUCAGAGCCUCUGAGUUGCCUGCAGCUCUGCGCCUGUGAGGCGCCGAGGGCCAGGCGCUGGCCUCCUGAUGCUCCACACCCCCAGCUCCCCCCGUCACCUGCUGCUUGCUCCCUUAGGAGUCAGGGAGCGAGCUC